AUACUUUAGAAUUAUAUAUAUAUAUAACUUACAAACAUACAUAUCACAAAUUCCUAUCCCUCUUACAAAAUGUAUAAAGAUAAAGGCAAGGGAAAACAUAAUACCUAAAACAAUACAAAACAUCAUGUAACCGGAAAAGAAAAUAAACUCUUCGAGACUUUUUCGCCGAUAUCCUGAAAAAGAAACACCUGUAGGGGAAUGAGAACAUCGUCCUCAAAAGGGUUCUCACUAUAAGGUUACAGAAUUAUUAUAAUAAGAUACGUAAAUUAAAUCUGUUUUCAGAAAAGAGUGAUUAAUAACCGUCUUAU